GACGUAGGAUGCAAGCGUUGUCCGGAAUCAUUGGGCGUAAAGAGUUCGUAGGCGGCAUGUCAAGUCUAGUGUUAAAGCCCGGGGCUCAACUCCGGAUCGGCACUGGAUACUGGCAAGCUAGAGUGCAAUAGAGGCAAGGGGAAUUCCAGGUGUAGCGGUGAAAUGCGUAGAUAUCUGGAGGAACACCAGUGGCGAAAGCGCCUUGCUGGGUUGUAACUGACGCUGAGGAACGAAAGCCAGGGGAGCAAAUGGG
rnacentral:rRNA from 1 species